rnacentral:rRNA from 1 species
GUGGGGAAUAUUGGGCAAUGGGCGAAAGCCUGACCCAGCAACGCCGCGUGAAGGAAGAAGGUCUUCGGAUCGUAAACUUCUAUCCUUGGUGAAGAUAAUGACGGUAGCCAAGAAGGAAGCCCCGGCUAACUACGUGCCAGCAGCCGCGGUAAUACGUAGGGGGCAAGCGUUGUCCGGAAUGAUUGGGCGUAAAGGGCGCGUAGGCGGCCCGGUAAGUCUGAAGUGAAAGUCCUGCUUUUAAGGUGGGAAUUGCUUUGGAUACUGUCGGGCUUGAGUGCAGGAGAGGUAAGCGGAAUUCCCGGUGUAGCGGUGAAAUGCGUAGAGAUCGGGAGGAACACCAGUGGCGAAGGCGGCUUACUGGACUGUAACUGACGCUGAGGCGCGAAAGUGUGGGGAGCAAACAGGAUUAGAAACCCGAGUAGUCC